rnacentral:tRNA from 1 species
AAGGGAGACCUAAUUCCGGUAGGAGACGAAAAAAAAGUAGUCCCAACCAAGAAUCAAUCCCAAAAGGUCGGAACGAGGUAUGAGGCUUUCAAACUAGGUUCUGGGUUCAUAAAAGACCUGAAUCAGGAACAAGGGCUAUUAGCUCAGGUGGUUAGAGCGCACCCCUGAUAAGGGUGAGGUUCCUGGUUCGAGUCCAGGAUGGCCCACCUGCACAGGUGGCAAAAACAAGAGAAGCGAGGAAUCAGCACCUUAUCUUACUUAUAUAGUAAGAGAGAAUGCUGGCUCUGAGUAAAGAGUCCAGAGGAACCUUGAAAACUGCAUAGAGCUAGGUGAAAAAGCCAAAAAAGAAGACCGCAA